ensembl:lncRNA
AUGAGUACCACCUCUUUCUUUAAAAAAUGUGCGGCCUGCGGGGGAAAGCUCCCCAACGCAGACGGCCACUCUAUGUGCCUGCUCUGCCUGGGGGAAAGUCACCUACCCCAGUCUUGCAAAAUUUGCCUAGCCUUCACUCCCCAAGCCCGGAGGAACAGAGAAUCCCGCCUCAUGGCGGUACUUUAUGAGCGGGCUCUAGCCCCUGAGACGCCCCAGCCGCUAAAGCGUGCAGCGUCGGAAGCGCCCGGGGCCUCUCCCUCGGAGGGACGAGAGGAACAUUCCUCCCCCAAACUAACCCCGCCACCGCACGUCGGUGAAGGCGCGGAGGAGCAGAUCCCGUCAGCCCCGAAGAGGGCUAAAUCAUCUAAGCAUGGCCCUGCGGGAUCCAAACUGAAAGAAGGCCAAAAUAAAUCCAAGAAAAAGGGGCAACUUGCCGGCGCUAAGCCCCCAAGUCCCCAAUUAAACAAAAGCUCGCCCAGUAGAGCGAUUACCCAAUCUCGCUCCUCUCAAGAUGACGCCCCAGACAGCCCGCCUGCGUUAACGCAGAUAUCUCCGUUGGCUGUGCGGCUCGAGUCUCAAGCAGCUCUGGAUUCGGCUCUGCCGUCCCUUACUCCUGAGGCUAUUCCCCCCGCUGAAACGGGAAGAGGAGAACCCCGGGGAUCCGCUUCCCCCCAGCCUCUGGCCAUAAGUUCGAUGGAAGUAGCUAGAGCCUCAGGAGACGCGGCUAGAGGGCGGCCACGUGAUAGGGACUCCCAUGCUACCUCCCAUCACCAUCGCCGCUCACCUUCAAUUUCUUCCUGGAGCUCUCAGUCCCGAAGCCCUGCCGCUGCCUCUUCUUACUCCAAUCUGGGAUCUCCAGGCAGACGUCCGCCAUUUUAUGUCUACGACUAUGGCCAUUACAAGUAUGCCCCUCCUCCUCCUAUGGGUUUUGGCUACUGCCACCAUUUCGAUUGUUGCGGAGGGGCGGCGCCAAGCGGAAGCCACGCCCCUGCGCCCCUGACGCAAUACCAAGACGCCACCUCCCGGAGACAGGCACUCCCUCGGCCGGUUGCGGCUCCAAAGCGCGGCUGCACCCCCUCAGCCUCUCUGCAGCCAGAAAUGAGACUGGGAAGCUCGGGAGGCGAUCCCGAUGCCUCGGUACCGAGGCAUCCAGUGCAGGCCACAGUAGCAGGAGAGGCUGCUGAUGACCUUGAAGCGGGCCCUGUUGAGGAAGGUGACCAUCUCUCGGUACCGUCAGGAGAGGAAGACCUUCCUUCUCCCGUGGAUCCUCCUACAGACAUCAAGGCUACAUUACCGGAAGAGUUGAAAAGCUUUUCUGCCCUGAUGAUUAGGCUGGUGCAGGCCUUGAAACUGUCGGUCCCUCAACCAGCCAAGGUAGUUGACGAUCCCAUGUUCCCCUCCUCCCAGCAACAGGAUCCACCUACGACAGUCUUACCUUCGCUCCCGUUUCUGCUCCAGCUGAGUAAGGCUUCAGGUGUAGCUCCAGCUUCAGUCCCAGCUACCCCAAGAAGAGCAGAAAAUAUUUACAAAAUUGAUCUUUCAUCUGCUCCAUGGCUGGCGGGGCAACCAAAACCAAACUCUAUUGUGGUAAACGUCAGCCAGGCUAAACCUGGCCAAAGGUCCCAGGCAACUCCGUCGGAUAAAGAAGGAAAAAAACUGGAAGGAAUGGGGAAGAAGAUCUAUUCCUCAGCCUGCCUUUCUACGAGGAUGGCGCACUAUGCAGCAUAUAUGGCUGGCUAUCAAAGUUAUCUGUGGGAUAAAAUGAGCACAUACAUUGACCUCCUCCCCCCAAACGAACAAGCUCUAGCAAGAGCUUUCCACCAAGAAGCCUCCACCCUGGCCGUGUUUCAGAAAGAACUUGCAAAACAUACGGCUGACUCCGCUGGCAAACUACUGGCAGGCGCAGUGGCUCUACGUCGUCAUGCUUGGCUGUGA